CCAGACUCCUACGGGAGGCAGCAGUGGGGGAUAUUGCACAAUGGGGGAAACCCUGAUGCAGCGACGCCGCGUGUAGGAAGACGGUCCUCUGGAUUGUAAACUACUGUCCCCAGGGACGAAGAUGACGGUACCUGGGGAGGAAGCUCCGGCUAACUACGUGCCAGCAGCCGCGGUAAUACGUAGGGUGCGAGCGUUAAUCGGAAUUACUGGGCGUAAAGGGUGUGCAGGCGGCUGAGUAAGACAGAUGUGAAAUCCCCGGGCUUAACCUGGGAACCGCAUAUGUGACUGCUUGGCUAGAGUGCGUCAGAGGGAGGUGGAAUUCCACGUGUAGCAGUGAAAUGCGUAGAUAUGUGGAAGAACACCGAUGGCGAAGGCAGCCUCCUGGGACGCAACUGACGCUCAUACACGAAAGCGUGGGGAGCAAACAGGAUUAGAUACCCUAGUAA
rnacentral:rRNA from 1 species